rnacentral:rRNA from 1 species
AGAGUUUGAUCAUGGCUCAGAACGAACGCUGGCGGCGUGGAUAAGACAUGCAAGUCGAGCGCUGAUUACGAGGUAGCAAUAUUUCGUGGUUGGAGCGGCGCAAGGGUGCGUAACACGUGGGGUAAUCUGCCAUGAAGUUCGGGAUAACUCGCUGAAAAGGCGAGCUAAUACCGGAUGUGACAGCCUGGAGGCAUCUUCGGGUUGUUAAAGCUGGGGACCGUAAGGCCUGGCGCUUCUUGAUGAGCCCGCGGCCUAUCAGCUAGUUGGUGAGGUAACGGCCCACCAAGGCUAAGACGGGUAGCUGGUCUGAGAGGACGACCAGCCACACUGGAACUGAGACACGGUCCAGACACCUACGGGUGGCAGCAGUCGAGAAUUUUUCACAAUGGGCGCAAGCCUGAUGGAGCGACGCCGCGUGGGGGAUGAAUGGCUUCGGCCCGUAAACCCCUGUCAUUUGCGAUCAACCGUUAUUAUUUAAAAGAUGAUAACCUGAUAGUAGCGAAAGAGGAAGGGACGGCUAACUCUGUGCCAGCAGCCGCGGUAAUACAGAGGUCCCGAGCGUUGUUCGGAUUCACUGGGCGUAAAGGGUGCGUAGGUGGCUGGGUAAGUCGGAUGUGAAAUCUCGGAGCUCAACUCCGAAACUGCAUUGGAAACUACCCCGGCUUGAGGUGGAGGGGGGACUGGAAUUCUCGGUGUAGCAGUGAAAUGCGUAGAUAUCGAGAGGAACACCAGUGGCGAAGGCGAGUCCCUGGACAACUCCUGACACUAAGGCACGAAAGCUAGGGGAGCAAACAGGAUUAGAUACCCUAGUAGUCC